ensembl:lincRNA
CGUAUCUGUUUUCAUGGAACACUUGCUUGAACCAUGCUAAAGACACACAAUCCUACUGAUGGACAACUGUAGUGUUUGAAAUGAGAGGUAUACUCCAUAGGCUAUGUAUUUGGACACUUGUUUCCCAGUUGGCUAUGGUUAGAGAGGCUAUGAAUCUGUUAGGAGGUGUGACUCUGUUAAAGGAUGCCACACAGGGUGGUCAAUGAGAAUUUAGAGCCUUACUGAACUUCCAGUUCACUCUUCUGCUUCCCACGUGUGAAUGGAGAGUGACAUCUCAGCUUGCUGUUCUGGACACCUGCCGCCAUUCCUCCUGUAAUUGGUUGAUCUGAUGCUGUCUGCAAUCCUCAAGAUGACCUUGAACUCGGAGAUUUAAUCUUCUGGAAUCCAUAGCCACUAUGCCUCAAGAUCUCCAUACCAAGAUCCAGANNNNNNNNNNNNNNNNNNNNNNNNNGUACGCAGAGUCACAUCCAGCUUUUCUGGGAACCCAAACUCAAGACCUCAUGAUGAGCAUCAAAGAAGGCCCAUUCAGCCCAAGCUAUAUAGUAG